rnacentral:rRNA from 1 species
GAUGAACGCUGGCGGCGUGCCUAAUACAUGCAAGUCGAGCGAAUGGAUUAAGAGCUUGCUCUUAUGAAGUUAGCGGCGGACGGGUGAGUAACACGUGGGUAACCUGCCCAUAAGACUGGGAUAACUCCGGGAAACCGGGGCUAAUACCGGAUAACAUUUUGAACCGCAUGGUUCGAAAUUGAAAGGCGGCCUCGGCUGUCACUUAUGGAUGGACCCGCGUCGCAUUAGCUAGUUGGUGAGGUACCGGCUCACCAAGGCAACGAUGCGGAGCCGACCUGAGAGGGGGAUCGGCCACACUGGGACUGAGACACGGCCCAGACGCCUACGGGAGGCCGCAGUAGGGAAUCUUCCGCAAUGGACGAAAGUCUGACGGAGCAACGCCGCGUGCGUGAUGAAGGCUUUCGGGUCGUAAAACUCUGUUGUUAGGGAAGAACAAGUGCUAGUUGAAUAAGCUGGCACCUUGACGGUACCUAACCAGAAAGCCACGGCUAACUACGUGCCAGCCGCCGCAGUAA